rnacentral:misc_RNA from 1 species
UUCUCUUGGAGAAGCCGGGGCACCGGCUAGUCAAAGGAAAGGCAUCAACUCAGUCACAAUGCCUUCCACACCUUGUGUGUGCCGCAAAUCUCUACCGAUUCGUAUGUGCCUUUAGGAGUUUGACGGGAGGGUUGAUGGGCGAGGCAUGUGGCGCACCUCCGCUUGCGUUUCGUGGAGGUUUUUGUGUGCUUCGUUUUACGUUUGCGGGUGCACAAGUGGGUAAUGUGAGAGGGGAAGGGGGACUGGAGCAACAGCAGCUUCCCAAGGUGACUAUGAAGCACUACCCGUAUUUCGAGAAUGUCGGGGAGAGAGCGAAGACGACUACUGCCGCGGAAGUGAGGAGCCGACAGAGGAGACCGAUGUGCGUUUUGGAGGGCUUGCCCUUUUUUCCUUUUUCGCCUCUUCUAGACCAUUCUUCUCUUCGCCGCAUCAUCUGCUCCAACCACGCGUAGUGCCCUUGGUCUUAUUGUGUGUGUGUGUGUACUUUUUUUUUGCGUUUUGGGUGCUUGUUCUGCCUGUUGAUCUCACUAGUCUAGUUGUCACGGUACUUUUUUUCUCUGCGUUCCCGCAGACCCUCUACAACGCGCUCCUCCUCCGCUGCUGCAACCUGACGUUGCCUUUUCGACCGAUGGGGGGUAGGGGUAGGAUGUGACGGACACACGUAAGGUGGUGCAUCUUAAGUACUCUUUUUCCUUUAGAUGGAAAAAAAAGGAAAGAAAACCAGCAUUGCUGUUUGGCGCGCCAGCACUGCAGCCAUCGUCCGCGGGCAAAGGUGAGGAGAGGGAGGGGGAAUCUCAUGAAUGGUGAGCAUGAAGCGGAAGUGAGUCGCCUGAGUGGGAACGGACCCAAGGCCACAGCUUCUCGCAAUGAUCGGGCUUCUCUUUUCCCCUUCCACUCCCUUGCCACGGAUGAUGGGGGACCCCCCAGAGUCGCAUCACAGGGUCCAGUACCCCCACUCUGUGCGGGGAAGCCAAGCAGCCCCCACCCUAUCCCCCUGCCAAUGCCGAACCACUUCUAGUGGUGACAGGGUUCAAGCAUCUACGGCGUGCGGGGAGUCAGAGCGUCGUAUCGCUACUGAUGCCGGCCGUCGAGCCCUAGAUGGCGUUACGUUGGAGUAGCCUGCGACCGUGAAUACGAUUGUAUCAUACAAUAGGCGAAGUGCGGGUGUGACUCGGACGUAUCCUAUCCGGCCCUCACUUCCCACUUGUGGGGAGCCUGCGCCGCCGCGAGAGGGAGGCACUAGGUGGCGAGCGGCACCUUGGGAGCGGCUGAGAGGCGACCUGCGAGACGGAGGGGGGGGGGCAGAACUUGAGUUAGAGGCCAAGCUCAGAUGACGGAGUCAACGCAUUGCUGUAAUGCGUGUUCAUGGCCACUUCGCACCACUCAGUGGACCUGUGAUGGGCCGGAGGUCGAGUUGGAGGUGAACUCGCGUUCGAUGACAGAACGGCCACGCUGAUAAGAAAAUUCGAAGUCCCUUGCAUCUGCGAAG